rnacentral:tRNA from 1 species
GCCCCCGUAGCUCAGUGGAUAGAGCAAAGGAUUCCUAAUCCUUGCGCCGCGUGUUCGAUUCACGCCGGGGGCACCA